AGAAGACACCCCCAAGGACCUGAGUGAAUGAUCUCCACGGAGCCCUGAGCUGUAAGGAAGAAGGCAUCCAGGAGGACAGAUUUGAAGUGUGUGAAAUAAAGAAGACAAUAUACAUAUUGGCCCUUAUUGGAACAUGUUGCUGAUCUAGAACGGAACAAUUAGAUGAGUCUAGGCUAUUUCUGGACUCCCCAUCUCCCUGUCAACUGGGAACAAGCUGGCCCGUGACUCCCUAGCUCCCCAGCAGUCAUGACACAGUCUCAUGGUUAGAACCGGAUUCAGCAAUCCUGAAACCACGUCUCUGAACAACCUCCAAUGUGAGAAUUCCUCCUACAGACUUCCCUUGAACAAGGACACAGUCUCAGCUUAAGCACCUCAGGCCACCGGGAGCCCACUUCUUCUCCUUCCAUUGUUUAAGAAUGUUAUUCCUUAUUUCAAAUCACAAUGUGACAACACGCACUGAUUAAUAGGAUGGGUUUUGGAGCUGGAGAAAUAUAGAGUCUAAUCCUG
rnacentral:lncRNA from 10 species